rnacentral:misc_RNA from 1 species
GAGUGCACAGCUGGCACACACACGCGCACACACACACACACACAACUGCAUUGGCAGGCCAGGCGCCGUGACUUCUCGUGCUGCGGCUUUGGCUUCCCUCCCACGCUAGGCAGGCGAGGUCGCCUCCCCUUAUCCCGUAGCGCGGAAAAGCGGAAGCAAUGAACGGACACAGCAUCGAGGACAUUGUCGAGAUCGAGGACUACCGCGCCCCCGCGGUUGAAUCCACCAUAGGCGAUAUGGACAAGGAAGCCCUUCGUGAAGAGCUGCGUCGCCUGGACGCACAGAAGGCGGCCCUCGAGGCGAAGCUGACGGAUGCACUUCAGUAUCUCGCAUCGACCCCUGUUGGGCUUCGCGGCCGCUUGCUUGACGAUGAGGGGUUCCCGCGAAACGACUGUGACCUGUACGCGGUUCGCACAGCCCGGAACACGGCCGACUCCACGCGCAACGACCUGCGCGUGCUGAACGAAAAAAUAUACAGCCUUCUCAAUGAGCUGCACCUCCAGACGCAGGAGGAGGCGCAGCUACAGAUGGUACAGGACGCCGCUGCCCGCCGGCAACGACAGGCAGCGGCGGAGAAGCGGGCGCAGCGCAUGGCAGAGGUGCAGCGUGUCUCGCGGCUGAAGCCGUGUCUGGUGGUGGCGAAAGUGGACGCCAAUAGCCCAGCGGAGGAGGCCGGCCUCUCCGUCGGCAUGCAGAUCCUGCAAUACGGCGCCGUGACGCAGACGGAGCUGAUCGCGGAGGGCCUGCAGGCGCUGGCGAGGGAAACAUCCACCCACGAAGGGGCGCCGAUUGCAGUGUGGGUGCGGAAGCCAGGAGAGCUGCAAGAUGAUCCGUCCGAGCUUGUACUGGUGCCGCAGCGCUGGCAAGGGCCCGGGCUGCUCGGCUGCGCCUUGGACAUGGUCGGGGACGAAGCUCUGUGUGAAAGUCGCUGAUGGGCGAACACGCUUUUUUUUUCCACCUUUCUGGUGCCUUUAUGGACUGUGUCUGGGAGUGCUCUUCUCAUUCCAUGCAUACGUGCUUGUGUGUGUGUUUAUGCGUGUUGUGGUGCGGAGGGCGCAGCGGCGCUUCGCUAUGCCGCCGUUCUCACAUGACGGGCCCGCAUGAUCGCAUUCAGCCCUGCUCUGACUCGUCAUCUGGUGCUGCACGCAUGUGUGCGGCUUUCCGCGUGCCCUCUUCAAGAAAAAAAAACGCUUCUUUCGUGCGCGCCACUUGCGCUGGCACGAACUGCGAGAGACGUGCAGCGGGGCCGGCCUGUCUGCAUAUAGGCUGGUGCGCAUCGUCUACUGCUGUACAUUGGGGUGCGCGCCUACCGGGCUUAGGUCAUACUCGCACUCCUGCUCAACGCCGACAUCUCUACCCUUGUUUCGUCAUGAGGCGGAGGGCCACUCAUCGAUAGCGAAGCGCACGCUCGCACACCGGAACGGCGUCGCAUCCUUUCUCCCGUCCACGAGCCGGCCUUUGACUGUGCGCGCUACAACUUGACUGACGCCUCUUCGUCCGCAUACCUCGCUUGUACUUCACAUACCGCGGUAUGCAUGAUCUGCACACACGUAG